rnacentral:misc_RNA from 1 species
GUUAAGUUAUUUCGUGGGCAACCUAUAGCUCCACAUACUCCAACUUGAUAUGAGAACCCUCUAUUUUGUAGUUCCAGCACCAACUUCCAGUAUCCUGCUUAUCGAGCUCAAUUGGAUCUAACUGAGCUUCAAAACCAGAAGUUCCUGGUGCAACUUUCAAUUUGUAGCCAUCUGGAACUUGAAAUACAUGAUUACCCUGUAAAACAACAU